UGCGGGAUCGUCUAAUGGUAGGACUCGGGACUUUGAAUCCCGCUAUCUAGGUUCGAACCCUAGUCCCGCAACCU
rnacentral:tRNA from 1 species